rnacentral:rRNA from 1 species
UACACACCGCCCGUCAAGCCACGAAAGGGAGGGAUAUCCGAAGUCGCUGUGCUAACCGCAAGGGGGCAGGCGCCGACGAUAGACUUCCUGAUUGGGACU